rfam:Canis lupus familiaris chromosome 12, whole genome shotgun sequence.
AUCGCUUCUUGGCCUUUUGGCUAAGAUCAAGUGUAGUAUUUGUUUCAUGUUUUUCAUGUCACUUUUUACAUUCUUU